rnacentral:siRNA from 1 species
GUUUGGUGUAGCUCUGAGUUACA